AUAUUACAAAUUUUCUCAAUUUGAUCAUUGGUUGCUUAUCACCACAUCAUAAAUGAAAACAGCUUCGUAAGUCAUAAACGCGCCGUAUUAUGUGCUAAGUGAUUUGGAAAAAUAUAAUGUUCAACACGACAUUCUCUGCCAAGUAAUCCUGCAACCAAGUACCGUAUGCAGCUGGUAGACAAAUAGAAUCAUUUGUUUUUAGAACAUAACUGGUAUGUAUAUAGUUAAGGAAGUUGUUUGAGUUAACAAAAUCGAUAACCCUUAACUGGUAUGACCGGUAGAUGGCAGCUCAGCUAGCGAUAGAUAUUCAAUUUGUAUAACGUCAAAGGUACUUUUAAUCUUGUCUGAAUCAAAGUGGAUAGUUACAAGGUCAUAAGUACAAGGUCCGGCAUACUCACUUGGACGCCACCCACCCGGAUGAACAACCGAAAACACAAGAGCAGAAUUACCAUAAAAGUCAUUCCAGCCGCAACUUCUGCGUCGCAGAAUAUCUUUUC
rnacentral:lncRNA from 1 species